rnacentral:rRNA from 1 species
GUGGGGAAUAUUGGGCAAUGGGCGAAAGCCUGACCCAGCAACGCCGCGUGAAGGAAGAAGGUUUUCGGAUCGUAAACUUCUAUCCUUGGUGAAGAUAAUGACGGUAGCCAAGAAGGAAGCCCCGGCUAACUACGUGCCAGCAGCCGCGGUAAUACGUAGGGGGCAAGCGUUGUCCGGAAUGAUUGGGCGUAAAGGGCGCGUAGGCGGCCUGGUAAGUCUGGAGUGAAAGUCCUGCUUUUAAGGUGGGAAUUGCUUUGGAGUCUGUCGGGCUUGAGUGCAGGAGAGGGAAGUGGAAUUCCCGGUGUAACGGUGAAAUGCGUAGAGAUCGGGAGGAACACCAGUGGCGAAGGCGACUUACUGGACUGUAACUGACGCUGAGGCGCGAAAGUGUGGGGAGCAAACAGGAUUAGAUACCCUGGUAGUCC